UCACAAUCUUUUCCUCAGUUCUCAAAGUGUAGUUUGACAUCUGGGCUUAUUCAUAUUGGUCUGAUUUUUGCAGUGAUCAGAGAUAAAGAACUCAAUCAUGGGGCACGAGUAGCAACGUUUUCCAUUUCUAAUGGAGGAAUAACCAACCAAUUUUAGGGAAAUGUUGUAAAAGCAGGUAUUUCAGCACUUGUGAAAUGAUGGUGUUUUGUGCCAAGAAAUCAGCAGAGAGGGAGGAUUUCUGUUUUGUAUAAAACUGACAUGAUUUGAAAGGGUUUUUAAAAAUCUAAUGACUUUUCAGUGACUCGUUCCUCUGUAAUUGAGACAGAAGUGUAACUCAAUCAGAAGACAAUGUUGGUUGGUUUAAUGCACAGAUUAUGGUUUCAGAGAAGUAUUUAUUUCCCUACACACUGGACAUCUGGAAACAUUCCCCUGCCACAUUUUAUUAGAACAUUGAAAUCACCUCGUUAAAUGAUAUGGAGGGAUUUAGAAAGCAAGGUAAUUGUUGGGAGAUCAAUCACUGAUAAAGCUUCCCAUGCCACUUUAAUAUGUUCCCAUUUACUGCCACAGACACUCAUUCUAAUCAUUGGCUAUGCCAUUUAAAUGAUUUUCAUCACAGACUUCCAGGUUUUCUGAGCCUUCUCCUGGUGUAAUGACCCCCACAGCAUUUUCCUGUCUUUGUUGUUAAGUAAAUGAGCUGAUAAGCAAUGAAGUACAUAUGCCAAAUUACUAUUUUAGUACCCACUGCUGCUUUUCUCUCAAAGAUACAAAAGUAGAAAAGGGGCUGGACAGAAAAUCUCCCCUGCUUAUUUUCUCUCACAUCCUGAAACAGAGCUUUGUUCAUGACAAUACACCACAGACUAGAUGAAAUGGUGACUGUCCUGCUGUGACCGGGAGAUAUUUGAGGUGGAUAAGAGGGAGUACCUGGUGGGAUUUGGAGCCUGAAGAGAGAACCAAGAAAAUAUAAUGUCCAUAGGUGGGACUUACAGUCUAUGGGAAAGUUUUUUCCUACAAAACUGUAUACAAUUGAUGUACCUACAUAACUCUGUAUCCUUUAUGGUCUUUUCAUGAAGAUGUGCAUUGGAAAGAACCAUUCAUCAGAUCCCCAGAAACCUGAGGGUUGCCACACAGUGACCUCUUCUAGAAAUGAUAGACCAGCUCUUACCUGUGCAGUACAAUGUGAUCCAGCACCCUCCACACAAUUUGGGAGUUUUGCAAGCCCUCUCAUUAAUUUCCAGAGCCCUCAGGCUUACUGAUCAAGAUCCACUUCAAGACUUCCGAUUGAAUCCAGCUAAGGCAAAUGUGUAUUUAUUUCCGCAAGAUGCUUCAUGAGCGCUUCUAGCUUCACCUGGAAACAAAAUACCUUGACAGCUUCACCAGGUCUCUAAUCUCACACCUGCCCAUUCCACAACUAGAUUGUUGCCGUCCUCCUGUGUGUCCACUGUAUCCCACUUCCUCCCUGGGGAGCAUCUUAUCUGCCUUCAUCCGCCAAAAUCCAGCUCCCUGCAUGCCUGAUAGGGCAGCAGCCCCUCUGUCCAACCCCACAUUGUCAUGGUGAAACAGCUUGAAUAGCAGGUCAGUUCUCACUCAUGUGCAACUCUUUCUGCUCUGGGGAAGUUCCCAGGAUCCGGGCAGUGUCAGUCCUCCCAACUCUGAGGCUUCCUCAGCCAGGUUGUGAAGGCUGCUGACAGCAGGAGUUCACAGCAGCAGGGUAUCAUGCUGCUUACUGUGAAUUUGGUGUAACACAAGGAUUUGGGACACGAGAGCUGUAUGUGGUGAGCUGUGGUAAUCCUCUGCUUUUGUUCUCACAUUAAUUUUGCACCCUGUGGGGUUUGUUUCAAGUUUCAUAGUCACCUUCUGAAAAUAGUGAGUUUUGGCCUUCUUCCAGCAAAAGCCAAAACCUCCUUCAUACUCAGGCCCAAAGGACUGGGUUGGAGGGAGGGAAGGAGCAGAGGGAAAGGGAAUGGGUCCAGGCUGACCUCCUUUUCCAUGUGAGAGUACCAGCUGGGAACACAGACAACCUAACUGCUUCUGAAAGCUGCCUGCUGCUGUACCCCUUCCAGAAACCCCCUCUGUUCUCAGGAGGGGGAAACAGCUCCUGAGGCAGCUUUUCUCCAGACUGGGAGAAGCUGGAGGUCACGGAGUCAGGAACGACUUUGAUGCUGUCAGGCUGGAGCUGUGAAGACUUGACCUCUGACUGUAGCCCGCCCCCUGGUCUUCCCGAGAUUAAAUUAUGGAAGGGUUAUCUUGGACAUUAAUCCAUGGAAGAGAACCAAACUGGGAAUUUUUUUGAUGGCCACCCUGGAAAUCCCUGCAUCACUGAAGCUGUGGUAACAAGUGCCUUCUGGGUGGAUACACAUGAAUUUGUCAGAUUGGUUUUCCCAACAGAACUUUUUUUCAACAAAAUUGUUAUUCUCCUUCUGAAAAUGCCUGUUCUGUAAUAUGGAUAUUUUGUGUAUAUUAAACAUUCCAGGAAAAAUUCCUACCCAGCAAGCCUAUUCAAUGCCUUACUUAUUUUCCUUCUUUGUGUUUUGUUUCCCAAACAUAAAUACUUACAAUAAUUUCUAGGGCUCCCAAGUUUAAUAAAGACUAUGUUGUGAGUCUU